GACGAACGCUGGCGGCGUGCUUAACACAUGCAAGUCGAACGGUGAUGGGUGGAGCUUGCUCUGCUUUGAUCAGUGGCGAACGGGUGAGUAACACGUGAGUAACCUGCCCCAGACUCUGGAAUAACCCCGGGAAACCGGUGCUAAUACCGGAUCUGACACAGAAUCGCAUGGUUGCCGUGUGGACAGUUUUUCGGUUUGGGAUGGACUCGCGGCCUACCAGCUUGUUGGUGAGGUAAUGGCUCACCAAGGCGACGACGGGUAGCCGGCCUGAGAGGGCGACCGGCGACACUGGGACUGAGACACGGCCCAGACUCCUACGGGAGGCAGCAGUGGGGAAUAUUGCACAAUGGGCGCAAGCCUGAUGCAGCGACGCCGCGUGAGGGAUGAAGGCCUUCGGGUUGUAAACCUCUUUCAGCUCUGAAGAAGCGAAAGUGACGGUAGGAGCAGAAGAAGCACCGGCUAACUACGUGCCAGCAGCCGCGGUAACAC
rnacentral:rRNA from 1 species